rnacentral:tRNA from 1 species
GGAGAGGUGGCAGAGUGGUCGAAUGUACCUGACUCGAAAUCAGGCGUGCGUGCAAACGCACCGUGGGUUCGAAUCCCACCCUCUCCGCCA